GGGCGCUUAGCUCAGCUGGGAGAGCACCGCCCUUACAAGGCGGGGGUCGCAGGUUCAAGCCCUGCAGCGCCCA
rnacentral:tRNA from 1 species